GCCAGCGUGGCCUAGUGGUUUGAGUUGGAGACUACAACUCAGGAGACUAGGGUUCAAUUCCCAGCUCAGCA